AAAACCUUUCCUCCAAAAACAGCAUAUAACCCUAAUCUCUCUCAUUUUCCACGCAUUUUGUCUGUUCAAGUUCCAACCCUCAUGAAUUACGAUAGCCAUGAGUACAAUCAAAUGAAUCAACCAUAUUAUGGGUACUAUCGAAGUUUGUAUUUUGCUCCUAAUUGCCUUGCUUAGUGUUACUAAACGCUGUCAUACUCUGCCGCCACUUUUAGUGACCCAAAGAUCUCAAUUAUGGUAUGAGCAAGCUUGUGAUCUCUUACUCUAUACAUAGAGAAAUUAGACUCGAAGUUGCGGUGGCUCGAUGGUUUGGGCAUAUACUAAAUCUCACCUCUGAAGAAUAUGAGACUCUGAUUACAUGCAAGUAGUUGGAUCUACAGCAUCAGAACAUGCAUAUUGGAGGCAGGUACCGGGAUUUGUUCCAUGUGCUUCACGGAAUUCAGUUGCCUUUGUUUAUGGUGUAAGAGAGGUAUUCUUUACCCGAGAGAAAAUUUAAUUUGUUCGAGUUUGGAACCUUCACAGGACUAACUCUUUUCGCAGAAAUUGUUUCAUCUAGAGAAUUUGAGCUCGAGAUUUUAUUUAAGAGAAAUCAAAUAUGUACCCUAAAAACCAACUGUGCUUUAUUGUCUUUGUUUAAAUUUAUAUUUGUGUCUCUGUUAACUUCGACUGACUCCAUACUAAACUAAUAUAUACUACACUCUAUUUUUUCCAUAUGUCAA